ACCCGAAACCAGGUGAUCUACCCUUGGUCAUGUUUAAGUUCAGGUAACACUGAAUGGAGGACCGAACCGACUUACGUUGAAAAGUGAGCGGAUGAACUGAGGGUAGCGGAGAAAUUCCAAUCGAACUUGGAGAUAGCUGGUUCUCUCCGAAAUAGCUUUAGGGCUAGCCUCAAGUGAUGAUUAUUGGAGGUAGAGCACUGUUUGGACGAGGGGCCCCUCUCGGGUUACCGAAUUCAGACAAACUCCGAAUGCCAAUUAAUUUAACUUGGGAGUCAGAACAUGGGUGAUAAGGUCCGUGUUCGAAAGGGAAACAGCCCAGACCACCAGCUAAGGUCCCAAAAUAUAUGUUAAGUGGAAAAGGAUGUGGCGUUGCCCAGACAACUAGGAUGUUGGCUUAGAAGCAGCCAUCAUUUAAAGAGUGCGUAAUAGCUCACUAGUCGAGUGACACUGCGCCGAAAAUGUAACGGGGCUAAACAUAUUACCGAAGCUGUGGAUUGUCCUUUGGACAAUGGUAGGAGAGCGUUCUAAGGGCGUCGAAGCAUGAUCGCAAGGACAUGUGGAGCACUUAGAAGUGAGAAUGCCGGUGUGAGUAG
rnacentral:rRNA from 1 species